UUCGGAAAGAGACUGACUCGGAUUCGGAUUCAGAUUCACAUUCAGAGCAGUUGCAAAGUUUAUUUCGGCAGCAUCCCAAACGGAAUGGCGGAAAAUCAAUACGUGCUCACGGGACCGGUGCUCUGGCCGCAUCGAGAGUCAAGAGAGGACAGCCGCAGCCACAGCCGCGACAGGCCCACCCCGGAGAGUGGAGAGCACGGCGGAAUGGCGGAACGGCAGCUGGACCCACUUCACCAUCCUCGGGCAGUCGGCUCGGGUGGUGGUUGUUCCGAAAGUGGCGCAAAUGAGGCCAAAGACCCCGGCUAGCAACCCUUAAGGAGGCCCAGAUAAACAAUCAUUAGGUGAACAUGAGUGGCUUUCGCCAAAUGAAUGACACACAAAACUCGGAAACUCCUUGUGAAAUGAGAGUUUUAGUAAUUGAGAGCAGAUAUUACCAUUAGUGUAUUAAACAUAAUCUCAGUAUUAU
rnacentral:lncRNA from 1 species